GAUGAACGCUAGCGGCAGGCCUAACACAUGCAAGUCGAGGGGCAUCGGGAUUGAAGCUUGCUUCAAUUGCCGGCGACCGGCGCACGGGUGCGUAACGCGUAUGUAACCUACCUAUAACAGGGGCAUAACACUGAGAAAUUGGUACUAAUUCCCCAUAAUAUUCGGAGAGGCAUCUCUCCGGGUUGAAAACUCCGGUGGUUAUAGAUGGACAUGCGUUGUAUUAGCUAGUUGGUGAGGUAACGGCUCACCAGGGCAACGAUACAUAGGGGGACUGAGAGGUUAACCCCCCACACUGGUACUGAGACACGGACCAGACUCCUACGGGAGGCAGCAGUGAGGAAUAUUGGUCAAUGGACGCAAGUCUGAACCAGCCAUGCCGCGUGCAGGAAGACGGCUCUAUGAGUUGUAAACUGCUUUUGUACGAGGGUAAACUCACCUACGUGUAGGUGACUGAAAGUAUCGUACGAAUAAGGAUCGGCUAACUCCGUGCCAGCAGCCGCGGUAAUACGGAGGAUUCAAGCGUUAUCCGGAUUUAUUGGGUUUAAAGGGUGCGUAGGCGGUUUGAUAAGUUAGAGGUGAAAUCCCGGGGCUUAACUCCGGAACUGCCUCUAAUACUGUUAGACUAGAGAGUAGUUGCGGUAGGCGGAAUGUAUGGUGUAGCGGUGAAAUGCUUAGAGAUCAUACAGAACACCGAUUGCGAAGGCAGCUUACCAAACUAUAUCUGACGUUGAGGCACGAA
rnacentral:rRNA from 1 species